ensembl:lncRNA
GCGUUUCGCAUUUGCCCCUUGGCCCUGGUCUCUCGGUCUUGCUGCCUUCAGGCUUUAACUCCUCAUAGCUCCCUGUAGAUCAACCUCAUUCCUGCCUCUGGGGCUUUGUGAUGUCAGGUGUCCUCCUGGGAAUGCUCCUCUCCCCACACCCCACCAUGUAAGACCCCUCCCAGGACAUUGCUGCUGGCCUUCCUGGCACGUCCCAGCACUGCCCUGUGCUUCGUGUGGCUUGCUGGCUGCCCUGUGCCCAGGUGGCUUAGGACCUGGCCCCUGCAGGGCAGUGUUCUCUGUCCCACCUGGGUGGGGGCCAUGAAUGCCCCAUGCUCUGGGCUCAGCUGGAGAGCUCAGUGCAGACUGCUGACUCAUGAAGACAAGAAGGAAACAAGAUGAGAAAACCCAGAGAGGAGGUUAGAGGAGGCACCCCUGCGAUCCUGGCACAGAAGUCUGACACCUCCACGGGCUGCAGGAGUCUCAGAAUGCUGGAGCUGAAACAUCUGCUCAAGAUAUGGAAUGAAGGCCCCCAGGGAAGUGACCGAACAGGCUGAGAGCAGGGGACAGCACCGGCCUGUGCCCCGCUACUUUGAAGGCACGCUUGCAGAAUGGAAAUUCACGUGGAUAGCAACAGAUGAGGCAGGGAAGACUGGUUAUCAGAUGGACUUUCUCUUCCACCACCUGGUGUCUUUAGACUUGGUGCCUGGUUUUUCUGCAGUCACAGGUGCCCAGGUGGCUCUCUCUCUUGUCCCCAUUGGGCAGAGGCUGCCCUUCUAUCCCAGCCCUUCCCUAGCUGGGCUCACCCUCUGGAUGCUGUCUCCGGCCUCGCCCUUCACACUCAGGAUCAGCUCUCUGUUGGAGCCCCAGGCCAGGGAGAGCUGGGGGGCCCUGGCCAGACACCGGGCAUCACAGAGCUCUUCUGCUGAGACGUACUGCCAACACCGGCAGCUGUGGAGAGGAGAGGGUGAGAGGCCUGCCCGGUGGGUGUGGAGCAGCUGUCUGCUCCCUGAUGCCCCUCAGCCCUGCAGGCCCGUCCAGAAGGACACGAGCCGUCUAUGCUUCCUAAGCAGUGACUGCACUUUUAAUGGAGGUCCACGAAGGACUUGUGACACUGUGCUCUCGCCCUGCCUCUGCACGAGCUGGGCGUCUCCCAGAAUGCGAGCAGUGCCUGGACAGAGGCACCGCUGAGGCAAGAGUGAGGCGAGAGAGCUCCUCAGCCUGGAGGACUCCUAUUUAUUCAGCAGACCUCCCGGCACAGUGCUCCCCUGCCCCGUGCCUCCCCUGCCUGGGGGCAACUCCGUCCAGUCCACAGGUCAGCUGGAGGACUAGAACUCAGGAGAAAACCAGGGUCCCCCUUGGCUUGACGUCUAGUCAGGGUCAGCUCCCAGCAGCUGGCUGAGGAGCCCGGGGUGCAGACCUCGCUCUUCCUUGCUGCCAGCACCUCUCCAGCCCUGUGCUGCUUGCCCCGGCUGGUGUUGCCUGGCCCCUCACCCCCCUGCCCCUGUCGGGGAGUGCUGACAUGGGAGCUUCUGGAAGGAGCUUGCACUCAGCUCAAUGUCCCAUCAGGGCUGAGUCCUGCCAACACCCUUCUGGACUGGCCCUCUGGGGACGGUCAGGACCUGUCUGGAGGUGGUAGAUUCAUUCUGUUCUCUGUGGCUUUUUGUCACUCACAUGCCCAGUUCAUCGCUGAGCUCCCCACCCAAGGGGUGACAGGAGGAGGAGCAGUUGUGCUGCUGAGGGGACACACACUGGCGGGUGGCAGCCAGGCGAACGUCUCCAGGCGAUCAGCGCUCUGCCACCUGUGGGAGGAGAGUCCCGGCUCUGGCACCCUGUAGGCCUGGGUGGGGGCGCCCUCCGCGUCAGAGACCAUUCCAGAGACGGGAGCAGGGCUGUGAGGAACCAGGCUCCGCUGAGAGGUCAUUAGUAAACACGCUAAGACUAGGGCUAGCUGGAGGGUAGAGGGGAACCACGAAGUGAUAGAAGAUAAGUUUGCUGCCUUGGGGGGAUUCGGGAGGUCUGGCUGGGGAGGCUGGACAGCUAAGAUUACAUCCUAAGAAGUGAGGAUCAGCAGUGACGGUGGUGGCUGGUCAGGGAAGGCUUCCUGGAAGAGGUGAGGGUGAGCCUAGGUCUGAAGCGGGAUUGUUAGAGCAGGACACUACAGGGGGGGAUGGCCAGAGUGUGUCAGGGAACAGGCCCGGUGACUGGCUGGGCUGGUACGGAGGGCCUGCCGGAGGAAGCAGCUUUGGGUGAGGCUGGAGAGGUGGCUGGGUGUUGGUUCCCAUGUUACCCUGGGCCCACAUUAUCUGCCUGCCUCCUGAAAGUGUGGAACCGUGGGAAGGAAGACAGGGCAGCCACAGCCCCUUCGCUGGGGGGUCACGUCAGGAAAGACACAGGCCCACCUGGACAACCCAAUUAUUUAUGCCAGUGGUAGCUAGACUUUCAACCAUGCCCCCCAAGAAUAAAAAAUUAUUGUAAAAUAUAUUACUAUAAUAUAUACUGUACUGUAUAUAAAAUAUAUAUUAAAAUACUUGUGAAAAACUGAAGAGAAGGAAGAUCACUGUGAACAGUUUUGAUGUCUCCUUCUUGAGCACACCCAUUUUGGGAUGGACUUGGUGAGGCCAGAGCCUUCCCUGUUCUCUGACCAGGUAGUAGGGGCGACAGGUGAGGGAGUUUGCCUGUUAAAAUCAGAGAUGAGUCCUGGAUGAUAGCCAUGAAAGAAGCCAUUCCUCUGGUUGAGGAUCUGAUCUAUACGACCCAGGCCGCGUGUCAGAGUCGUACCCCACCUCUAACUGGCUGUGUUACGCCUCUCUGUGUUUCACCCUCUUCAUGUGGAAAGGAGGCAGAGGUGGGCAUUCAGGGGCCAGAGGUGGGCCAGGUAGUAGCCUCAGGCUCGAUGCAGGCAAGGCCAUUCCAAGGCUGUGGGCUAGGAGGCAGCUCUGAGCGGGGUGGAGCCAGUCAGUUGUCCCGGCUGCUCAGUCCUGAGGCAAGGGGGCCUGUGCCCGAGGGAAGGUAGAGAGAUGCAGAGGGUGGGGAGGAUUUGGCGUUCUUGUCUGCGAAGGAGGGAGGGAGGGAGCCCAUCUCCUUUUGUUCUUGUAGGGGCCCUGGCCUUGCCCUGAGUAAGGAUGCGGGGAGCCAGCACUAGCUGGUGAUGUGAAGGACAGGUGCCCAGACUGCUCUAGGGAGCCAGCUCCUUGUCCAAGCUGAGUAUCCUCGGCUGAGCUCAGACUUGAGCAAGGCUUGAGAGCCAGGUUGACUAGAGGUUUUCAAACUUUAGUGAACAUCAGAAUCAUUUGGAGGGUUUGUGAAAAUCCAGAUUGCUGGGUCCCACCCCUAGAAUUUCUGAAUUCAGUGGGUGUGGGGUAGGGCUCGAGGAUUUGUGUUUCUUAACAAAUUUCCAGGUGAUGCUGACAUUGCUGGUGCAAAGACCACACUCUGAGAACCACUAGGCUAGAAGUAGGCAGGAUGCAGAGCCAUUUGUGCAACGGGAGAAGGGCAUGCACAGGGAGGGAGUGCUGGAAAGGUAGGGCCAGAUGACGGGAAGCCAGCAGCGCUGGGGCCACAGCCAGGGGCUGGUAACUAUCUCUAUCCGGUGGAGAGCAAGUGCGUGACUCAACCUGUUGACUGUUCUCCUGUCAAGGGGCAGGAUCUUCGAAGGGCAAGGCAGAGCUGCCUGACGAGGGAUACAGAUGGCAGAGGAGAAAGGUGGUGGGAGAGCACCUCGUUCCUCCUCAGGGUUUUGGAGGAGCUCCUACUGGCCCUGGGUGGCAUAGGCCAGCCUUGGGGUCCUGACUGUCAUCUUGUUCUCUGUGGCUCAAAUGUGGGAUUGGGAGUGACUGAUAAUGGGAGAUCUGGAUUCAAA